AAUUCAAUUAAACCAUAUGGGAAAUGAAGUUUGGUUGUUGGUGGAUUUUUUCUUUCUGAAAGAAGAAAAUAAUCAAAAAUUUGGCAAGAUGGAAAGCAAGAAGCAAUUUGCAAACGGUGAAAUCAAACAGUGCCACAUCAAAAUAAGAGGGAAGGAAAUCCAGCAGCGAAGCAGUGCCUGACAAAGUAGACACUCAGUGACUAGCGAAUGGAAGACUGAAUAAAAGAGUGAAGAAGUGAGACUUCCCAACAACUCCAUACAGAACUGGACCAACUGCUUCACAGCCCAUCUUAAUCGAGUAUGAAUCCCACCGAUGGCAUGACCAGUGGAGAUGCCCCUGGCAUCAAUGCCUCCUCUUUCCCUUGGGUCCAGAAACACGCCAUUCUCUAGAAGAUAAUUUAUAAGAGGCUGAACUAACUCUCUCUACCUGGAAGUUAAUAGUAUGAAAGAAAGGAAGGUGCCUCAUAUGCUGAAGAGUGUAGUCUUUGAUCAGGUUCAAAGACAUGGGUUUAAUUCUUCACUAACCUAUUUACUGGCUUUGUGGCC